rnacentral:rRNA from 1 species
CCGCUGAACUUAAGCAUAUCAAUAAGCGGAGGAAAAGAAACCAACAGGGAUUGCCCUAGUAACGGCGAGUGAAGCGGCAACAGCUCAAAUUUGAAACCUGGCGCUUGCGUCCGGAUUGUAAUUUGUAGAGGAUGCUUCUGGGCAGCGGCCGUUCUAAGUUCCUUGGAACAGGACGUCAUAGAGGGUGAGAAUCCCGUAUGUGACCGGCGCGCACCCUCCACGUAGCUCCUUCGACGAGUCGAGUUGUUUGGGAAUGCAGCUCUAAAUGGGAGGUAAAUUUCUUCUAAAGCUAAAUAUUGGCCAGAGACCGAUAGCGCACAAGUAGAGUGAUCGAAAGAUGAAAAGCACUUUGGAAAGAGAGUUAAAAAGCACGUGAAAUUGUUGAAAGGGAAGCGCUUCCAACCAGACUCCGCGGCGGUGUUCCGCCGGUCUUCUGACCGGUCCACUCGCCGCCGUGGGGCCAACAUCGUCUGGGGCCGCCGGAUAAGACCGGAGGAAUGUAGCUCAUUGAGUGUUAUAGCCUCCGGUGAUGCGGCGCGUCCCGGGCGAGGUCCGCGCUUCGGCAAGGAUGUUGGCGUAAUGGUUGGCAGCGGCCCGUCUUGAAACACGGACCAAGGAGUCUAACAUCUAUGCGAGUGUUCGGGUGUCAAACCCCUACGCGCAAUGAAAGUGAACGGAGGUGGGAGCUUCGGCGCACCAUCGACCGAUCCUGAUGUCCUCGGAUGGAUUUGAGUAAGAGCAUAGCUGUUGGGACCCGAAAGAUGGUGAACUAUGCCUGAAUAGGGUGAAGCCAGAGGAAACUCUGGUGGAGGCUCGCAGCGGUUCUGACGUGCAAAUCGAUCGUCAAAUUUGGGUAUAGGGGCGAAAGACUAAUCGAACCAUCUAGUAGCUGGUCCCUGCCGA